GAUGAACGCUGGCGGCGUGCCUAAUACAUGCAAGUCGAGCGAACAGACGAGGAGCUUGCUCCUCUGACGUUAGCGGCGGACGGGUGAGUAACACGUGGAUAACCUACCUAUAAGACUGGGAUAACUUCGGGAAACCGGAGCUAAUACCGGAUAAUAUAUUGAACCGCAUGGUUCAAUAGUGAAAGACGGUUUUGCUGUCACUUAUAGAUGGAUCCGCGCCGCAUUAGCUAGUUGGUAAGGUAACGGCUUACCAAGGCAACGAUGCGUAGCCGACCUGAGAGGGUGAUCGGCCACACUGGAACUGAGACACGGUCCAGACUCCUACGGGAGGCAGCAGUAGGGAAUCUUCCGCAAAGGGCGAAAGCUUGACGGAGCAACGCCGCGUGAGUGAUGAAGGUCUUCGGAUCGUAAAACUCUGUUAUUAGGGAAGAACAAAUGUGUAAGUGACUAUGCACGUCUUGACGGUACCUAAUCAGAAAGUCACGGCUGACUACGUG
rnacentral:rRNA from 1 species